rnacentral:rRNA from 1 species
UACGUAGGGUGCGAGCGUUGUCCGGAAUUAUUGGGCGUAAAGGGCUCGUAGGCGGUUUGUCGCGUCGGGAGUGAAAACCCAGGGCUUAACCCUGGGCUGGCUUCCGAUACGGGCAGACUAGAGGUAUGCAGGGGAGAACGGAAUUCCUGGUGUAGCGGUGAAAUGCGCAGAUAUCAGGAGGAACACCGGUGGCGAAGGCGGUUCUCUGGGCCGUAACUGACGCUGAGGAGCGAAAGCAUGGGGAGCGAACAGG